rnacentral:rRNA from 1 species
GACAGAGGGGGCAAGCGUUGCUCGGAAUCACUGGGCGUAAAGGGCGCGUAGGCGGGAUGCAAGUCGGUCGUGAAAUCUCUCGGCUCAACCGAGAAACGUCGGCCGAUACUGCCGUUCUUGAGGGAUGCAGAGGAGACUGGAAUUCCCGGUGUAGCGGUGAAAUGUGUAGAGAUCGGGAGGAACACCGGUGGCGAAGGCGGGUCUCUGGGCAUUUCCUGACGCUGAGGCGCGAAAGCGUGGGGAGCAAACGGG